AUCCAAAGUAUAACAAGGGGAGAACAGUUAGUGCUGAUUUUCAUUUGCAUAAAUUUUCAUAUAUUUUGGUGAAAAUAAUAGACUAGUGGAGAGCGGGGCUUAGUGGAGUCAGUGCAAAGGAAAAUCUUAACAUGGAUCGUUUCGCUGGAGUUGAGAACAUGCUUUUUCCCCCCUGUCACCUUAUUAAAAUCUAAAAUUAAAAAAAAAUUCUCUAAAUCCUGGAAGUAUGAUCGAGGCUGCCCCUGAAGGAGGUUUUAGUCCAAAGGAGCUGCUCUUUGAAAUGGCCUGUCCAGCUUUGGCGUUUGCCUGCUGAGGAAGAGUUUGUACAGGUCCACCUAUAGCCUGGAGUCACGUUGUCGGUCAGGUCCCGCUCUCUGUGACAGCACCACUCGCCUGCCUUUGGCAGUCUCACCUUCUUCACCAAACCUCAUUGCUUUAGACGGUGCCAGCCAACAGCAGCAUUUUGUGGCCCACUCUCUACUCCAGUCUUGGUACACGGAUUUUUCUCUCUCCAAGUAAUUCCUCAGCAUCCCCUUGAAUGGCAUCUACCACAUAUGCUUUCCUUGGAGUGCAAGUCCAUUUUUACGGUCCUGAGUAAAAGAACUUGUGCUGUUUUUUAAGAGCUGCACCUUCUGGGAAAAUUAGAGCUGGCUGUAAAACUCUGCCUGUAUUGUAUUCAAGGCAAUUGGGAGCACAGGAAGCGAGAAAGAAGAAGAGAAAGAUGAAGGAGGAAGAGAGGGAGGCUUCCCAAGGAUAAGCUGCUACAUAGAUAACUUUUUCAACGCACAAGACUGAAACAACGUCCCUUAACUGAAAUGACUCCAGAACAGCUAUUCUCUAGAAGACAUCCUCCUUGAUUUCUUGUGAGGCCUGUAAGAUGACUGAAGCUGUAGGAUGUCUGAAUUAGAAGAGUACCAGAGACACCACAGAACACACAUGCCCAUGGGGAAUGUUGUCCUGCUUCUGAGGUUCAGAUAUACAACUCAUCCGUGGGCAGCUGAGGAUGGACUUUCUGUCUCCACAGGUUUCUCUGGAAAUGCAGACAAAGACCUAAUAUUGAGCUGGCAGCAUCCUCAAAGACGUCAGAAAUGUCAUUCACCUGUACCUUCUUCCUGAUGAAACAUACUGGAGCCAUAUAUUUACAUGCUGUUCAACCAGGACCGUGCACAUGUGCAAGCAGUACCUGACUUCUGCAGUCUCCCAUUUACUGUACCACACACCUCCACGCCAGGUCAGAGGAAGACCCCUUUGAAAAUGAGGCACUUGAUGAUUGCAGAGGAACUGCAAAGACAUGGAAAAGACAUUGAGGUCCUGUUGCUCCUGUUGGAAACUUCUGUUGGCUACAGCAUGAGUUGGAUUGGACCCAGAGAAACAGAAUACACACAAGUAAUGAUGAGUUGGCCAUACAAGCAAGGAAAAUCACAGAUAACAGGGCAGAUCCAUCUGGUGGAACAUGGAUGGUGCAGUGGAGAUAUCCAUAAGCAACCUCUAGAACCAGGCACGGUCUCCAAGAACAGAAUGGCAUCAGAGACUAAUUUGAUCUGCAAAGAGCUCUGAGGAGAAAGAGAAAGAUUCUCCCUCACUCAAAAAUCAAGCUUCAGCCUUGUGUUGCCUGCUCCUGCCUAGUGAAACCUUCAAAGUUCUUCAGAUGCUGCUUAAGAUGGAAAGAAGGUCCUGUAUGUAAUCCUUCAGAGGAGAUUGGAAACCAAGAUUUUUCUGUUUAGAAUUGCAUGAUCACAAAAGAAAAAAAAAAGUGGUUGACUUUGAAGCACCUCCUUGAGUUGAUGACUACUGAGAAGCAGAGCCCUCGAGCAAAGAUACAGAUUUUCAAAGAUACAGAAUUUUCAAAUAACACCCACCUUGUGGGUAAAAUAGCUACUCACAAGAACAAACUCACGAUAUUCUGGAUGCCUGAUCCUAAACUUUAAUCAAGAGACUUCUUCAAAGAUUGGACAACACAGGUAUAAAUAAAUGACUUUUUAUUUGCAAUUACUCACUUUAAAAAAAUGGCGUUGACUCCAUUUCUUUGUUGUUAAGUCCUACCUUCUGCCUCUCCUGAACAUAUGGGGUUAAUUAUGUGAUUUGCAUGUUGUGGACUUUCCAUUCCCUUUUAAUUUUAAAUUUGCAGCUUUUGCGUGUACAAACAAUGACGGGAAAAAAUGUGCAAGUGCAUGUGCACAUAUACAUGUGUGUGUGUGUGUCUAAACACACCUUUAUCAUGUGCCUGAAAAGUGCUUCACAUUUACAAUCCUAUCAGCAGUAGGAUGCAUGGAAAGGAGGCCCUUGAAAGCAGACCCAGGCUGUCUCAUUGCCCUUCAAAGUGCAAGCAUGUGAUGGGCAGUGGGAGACAACACCUGUGUGCUUGGCACCCAUGCAGUGGAAGCUGCUUUCAUUAUGGGAAGCUAAGUAUGUCUCCAUGAAAUAUGGUGACGCAAUUGUUGUGUGGAGAUACACUCAGCUGUCUCGCUGUCUCCCUCUUCCUCUCUCUCCCUUCCCUGUCUCUCUGACUUGCUUCUUCCUGAUGCACCACAUUCCUGUUCCCUUUACUUCUCUUUCUGAAUACCUGUGUAUUGUCCUUUACCUUUGUUGAGGGUGUCUUCCCUGAGAUGAAAAAAAAGAAAAAUUGUGUCCCUGGCUUUGGGAAAAGGAAAAAGACAGCACAAAUCUUACUCCAAGAGCAAAUUCACCUAAAGAAGCAGUUUUUGUUAAUGGGCAUAGUGAAGGCAUGACAAGAAUUUGUGGGUGAGAAUAUUAACACUGGGAAGAGCAUUGCUGAGCUCUUGUUUACCAUUACUGCUUGCCAUCAACAUUCCUUGCUCGUCCAGUCCCAGGCUCAGUUCAUCUGAGGUCCCAGCUACUGUCUACUUCCUGGGUUUCAGAAAACUUUUGUAGGCAAUGCCAGACUCCAUAAAUCUGAAUCUCAGGGCACUAAUCCCAGUUACAGCUGUAGGGUCAAGCCACUUUAGAACUUCAGUGGAUGGCAAUAAAUCACAGUGCUGUGACCAGUGGGGGGAAAUACAGCCUGAAGAAUAUGUAGGUUUUGGAUGAGUAUGAACAGAAAGUAGAGUAAAGAUGAAGAAUUUGACAUGCCCUAUAGAGAAGAAAGGAGUGAGAGAGAAUUCAGUUAAAGGGUACAAGUAGUGGAAGCGACAACUAUGAGAAAGAGAGGAAAUAAUGCAGUAGAGGGAAGGACAGUGCAUGAAGUAGGAAAAACCUUUUGGGGAAAGUUGAGACAAAGGGGAGAUAAAAAGCACUCGAAACAUCCACAAGCGACAUAUUGCAUGCAGCCACACCUUUCCACAAGCCCACAGAGUUUGCCUCCUCUCUCAGCAUCAGAGCCCUCCUGCUGGCCUUGGGCCAGCCAAGACACCCCACUAGCCGCUCCUGGUCUUCCCUUCUGGGACCUGUGUUCCUCACUGCUGCCAUCCCAUACCAGGUCAAUACACUCUAGUGCUUGGCCAACUUCUCUCUUAGGGCUUCUGAAAAUAAUUUUCAGACUGGACUGUAAUCUUGAAAUCUGCCUGACAGGGCAUGGUAUCAUCCCAGCUCUAUUUUAAAGGUCAAGUCCUGUAGGUUUUGCUUGGUUUUGACUCAUUCAGACUUUCCAGUGACCUAAAAAAUGCCAUUGACCUAGAUAAGGGAGGGCAGAACUGGGGCCAUAGUCAAAUUUCCAGUAUAAAAAGUGUCUUCAUUUUCAGAUGGCUUCACUGUACUUGACAUAAGGUUUCACUGUUCUAUUUCUCUUCCUGAAUACAUGGAAAGAUCUGUACAUCAAAUGCAUAAAAGAUUUGACUUUUAAUUCCUACCAUGUAUUUUGGUAAGAGGAAUUAAAUGUCAAAACACAAAAGCAAUUAUACACUUAAUGGUAAAAAACAUAUAAUCAAGUCAUUUUUUUUAUUUUCAAAUGGCGGAGAUCAAAAUAAAAGGGCAAGAGGGUCUUACUUUGACAUUAUAUGAGAUGUAAAGGCACAUUUAUAUCCUUUUGUACCUUUUACAAAAUGAAUAUGCCUGUAAUCAUACCCAUUCAUUUUGAAAAGGAGAUUGUGUUUUAGAUCUAUAACAUAUUUGCGAGGGUGUUGAGGAAGCGUCUAAGUAAAAUGUGCCAUAGGAAAUCAACUCUGGGGAAAUGCAGUUAUUCUUCACGAUGAUAUACAACUAUUUUGGCAUAACACUUGGGGUGAAACAAAGCCUGCUGGUACAGGACAGUCAUUGCUGCAUAUUUAACCAACCGUCACUAUAGCAAGUCAGGGAAAUUUUUCUAUCUCAAGAAGUCUCAAAUUGCUGGAGGCUGGGACAGUGAUCUAGAGCACUCUGCUAUGAGGUUACCGGCCUCUUCUCUUCAGUAGCCGCCUGCUGAUGGCCACUGUUUGGUUAAGACAUGGGCCUUCUUUUAGAUCUGCCUUUCUCAGGGCAAUUUUUGUGUCCCUUUCCUCUAUGUACCUAUGUAACUAUGAGAAAGAGAGGGAAUAAUGCACUAGAGGGAAGGACAGCUCAGUGGCUUUGGUAUGAACUAGAUGAAAGCCCCAAAAGCACAAAUCUGAAAAGACAAUUUACAAUGCCACAGAAACAAAAUUGAAGCUUAAUUACCUAUCAGACCACUGUUUUGUUAUCCUAAAAGGGAAAUAUUUCUUUGGAGUGUGGCGAUUUCCUGUUUCUGUAGAUGGCACUCUGCUUAAAGCUUAUCCAGGUAACCAAAUUACAGGACCAAAAGUCCAAGAGCAAAAGUAGGUUGUUUAUUAUGGAGCUGGGCCAACUGGAGUUCUAUUCUAAUUUGAGCUCUAAUUCCUGACUUCUAAAAUUCAUUUGGUUUAAAUAUUUGCAUGUUUUCUUGAUGCCUCUUGUAUAAAUGUAUCAUAAAGAUUAAAAACCUGAUCCCAACGAAAACAAGGUAAAAAUAAUAAUUUGGGGAAGUAUGAAAACACUGGUCAAUUCACCUGGAGAUCUGCUGCUUCUUUAGGCCAAUUCAUGUGUGUAGAGGUCUUAGAAACCCCAAAGAUUUUAAGAGAAUACUUGUAUGUAUAUUUUAUAUCUAAGAAAUGGUAGAACAUCUAUUUAGUGUGCCAAAGCAUUAUUGUAUAUCUAUAUUUAGCUUUCACUUUUAGUGGGUGUUAUCUGCUAAUGUAUAUUUUGGGGAGUUUGAAAAUCUAAUGUUAAACUGUGGUAUUUCUCUAAAGAAUGGGCUUUUGAUAAAAAAAGAGGCAAAAAAUCCCUCAACCUGCUAAAUGGUACUUACUGAGAAAUAAGAUUGUCUCUUUCAAGAAGUAGAAGCCAUCAAACUUUUAAAUCCUACUUGCACGCUUGCAAUUUUAAAGGGAAAAAAAGGAUCAAAAAAAUCACUUUUUUGAAAAAAGUAAAUUUCUCUCGAAUUUGGAGAAACGAGUUCCAUCAUGUUGCAUUUCCCCACAGAGAGAAUGCAAUGACUGGCGUAGGAAGUUCACUGAAAACAAAUUUUUUGAUGGACAUUUUCUGUCACCCUUUGCCAUUACAGCAUACAUUUUCCUGUCACAUAAUAUACGGUAAUUAUAUGGAUUUUCCUCUUUCCAAAUCAGAGGAAUGUUUCCUUACUUGAAUGGAGGGGCCGCAGACUACUAGUCAACCUAAAAAUCCUGUUAGCAUUACAUCUCAGCAUAAAUAAAGAAUUUGGAUCAGUGCCUUGUUAGAUCACCGCUAUUUCUAGCUCACUGAGUAAAAAGAGCAUUUUUUGCAGCCUAGUUUGAUAAGUAAAAGGUGUCUUUCUCACCUGCGUGCACUCUGAAUUGUCACUCUCCUUCUUUGUUCCUUUGCACGCGGAUGUUGUCAGCUCCUGAGUCACAGAACCACUUGCAGGAAUGGCUCGGGAGAGUUUUGGAA